UCCAAUGUGGUGUAGUGGCUAACAUUGCUGUCUUUCAUAUCUUUCAAAUCGAUGAUCUGGCAUUGUGCACAGCAGCCCGGGGUUCGAUUCCCCGCAUUGGAA